rnacentral:rRNA from 1 species
AGAGUUUGAUCCUGGCUCAGGACGAACGCUGGCGGCGUGCUUAACACAUGCAAGUCGAACGCUGAAGCCCAGCUUGCUGGGUGGAUGAGUGGCGAACGGGUGAGUAACACGUGAGUAACCUGCCCCCUUCUUUGGGAUAACGCCCGGAAACGGGUGCUAAUACUGGAUAUUCACUGGCCUUCGCAUGGGGGUUGGUGGAAAGGUUUUUUCUGGUGGGGGAUGGGCUCGCGGCCUAUCAGCUUGUUGGUGGGGUGAUGGCCUACCAAGGCGGUGACGGGUAGCCGGCCUGAGAGGGUGGACGGUCACACUGGGACUGAGACACGGCCCAGACUCCUACGGGAGGCAGCAGUGGGGAAUAUUGCACAAUGGGCGCAAGCCUGAUGCAGCGACGCCGCGUGAGGGAUGGAGGCCUUCGGGUUGUAAACCUCUUUCGCUCAUGGUCAAGCCGCAACUUAGGGUUGUGGUGAGGGUAGUGGGUAAAGAAGCGCCGGCUAACUACGUGCCAGCAGCCGCGGUAAUACGUAGGGCGCGAGCGUUGUCCGGAAUUAUUGGGCGUAAAGAGCUCGUAGGCGGCUGGUCGCGUCUGUCGUGAAAUCCUCUGGCUUAACUGGGGGCUUGCGGUGGGUACGGGCCGGCUUGAGUGCGGUAGGGGAGACUGGAACUCCUGGUGUAGCGGUGGAAUGCGCAGAUAUCAGGAAGAACACCGGUGGCGAAGGCGGGUCUCUGGGCCGUUACUGACGCUGAGGAGCGAAAGCGUGGGGAGCGAACAGGAUUAGAUACCCUGGUAGUCCACGCCGUAAACGUUGGGCACUAGGUGUGGGGGGCCUUUUCCGGGUUUUCCGCGCCGUAGCUAACGCAUUAAGUGCCCCGCCUGGGGAGUACGGCCGCAAGGCUAAAACUCAAAGGAAUUGACGGGGGC